AUGAACGCUGGCGGCGUGCCUAAUACAUGCAAGUCGCGCGAACGGACGAGAAGCUUGCUUCUCUGAUGUUAGCGGCGGACGGGUGAGUAACACGUGGAUAACCUACCUAUAAGACUGGGAUAACUUCGGGAAACCGUAGCUAAUACCGGAUAAUAUUUUGAACCGCAUGGUUCAAAAGUGAAAGACGGUCUUGCUGUCACUUAUAGAUAGAUCCGCGCUGCAUUAGCUAGUUGGUAAGGUAACGGCUUACCAAGGCAACGAUGCAUAGCCGACCUGAGAGGGUGAUCGGCCACACUGGAACUGAGACACGGUCCAGACUCCUACGGGAGGCAGCAGUAGGGAAUCUUCCGCAAUGGGCGAAAGCCUGACGGAGCAACGCCGCGUGAGUGAUGAAGGUCUUCGGAUCGUAAAACUCUGUUAUUAGGGAAGAACAUAUGUGUAAGUAACUGUGCACAUCUUGACGGUACCUAAUCAGAAAGCCACGGCUAACUACGUG
rnacentral:rRNA from 1 species